rnacentral:lncRNA from 1 species
UAUCUCAUUAUAAUCUUUUAUAGACUGAAACUUGUACCACCAUCAAACUUUUCUAUUUUAUACCUUGUGGAUGUCGCCUAGAAUCCCUAGACUGUGCACUAAAAAAACAAACAAAGAAAAAAAUUUGUCGAAAAAUAAAAAACCAUUCCCAGGGAGUCAUCACUGCACAGAAAACCAUCAAAUGCGACCACUGAGUGUAAUAGCCUAAACUCUCAUCCAAAGUCUUGAACGAAU